rnacentral:tRNA from 1 species
GCGGGUAUCGUAUAGUGGCAAUACAGUUGCUUCCCAAGCAACGGACGGGAGUCCGAUUCUCCCUACCCGCU